GACGAACGCUGGCGGCGUGCUUAACACAUGCCAGUCGAACGGAAAGGCCUCUUUCGGGGGGUACUCGAGUGGCGAACGGGUGAGUAACACGUGAGUAACCUGCCCUUGACUUUGGGAUAACUUCAGGAAACUGGGGCUAAUACCGGAUAGGAGCUCCUGCUGCAUGGUGGGGGUUGGAAAGUUUCGGCGGUUGGGGAUGGACUCGCGGCUUAUCAGCUUGUUGGUGGGGUAGUGGCUUACCAAGGCUUUGACGGGUAGCCGGCCUGAGAGGGUGACCGGCCACAUUGGGACUGAGAUACGGCCCAGACUCCUACGGGAGGCAGCAGUGGGGAAUAUUGCACAAUGGGCGGAAGCCUGAUGCAGCAACGCCGCGUGCGGGAUGACGGCCUUCGGGUUGUAAACCGCUUUCGCCUGUGACGAAGCGUGAGUGACGGUAAUGGGUAAAGAAGCACCGGCUAACUACGUG
rnacentral:rRNA from 1 species